rnacentral:lncRNA from 1 species
UAUCAUGGAUAAUACCCGGUAGUGAGCAGUCAAAAACGUCUUGUUCAGAAGGCAGAAAGCACGGAGAGUCUGAGGACAUAUGGGGUGUAACCGAGUUGGAACUCGAUGAGAUCACGGUUUCACAUUGCCAUUAGGAUAGAUUUUUCCUCUUGUGCGCAAUUGCCUCUUUUCAGGAAUUGCUUCCUUUGUAUCGCUCAAUUUGAGCCACACUUUUCCAAUCAAUAAAAUGCAUAUUCUAUCAAAUAAUUUUGUUUUUUG